rnacentral:rRNA from 1 species
GACGAACGCUGGCGGCGUGCCUAAUACAUGCAAGUAGAACGCUGAAGAGAGGAGCUUGCUCUUCUUGGAUGAGUUGCGAACGGGUGAGUAACGCGUAGGUAACCUGCCUUGUAGCGGGGGAUAACUAUUGGAAACGAUAGCUAAUACCGCAUAACAAUGGAUGACACAUGUCAUUUAUUUGAAAGGGGCAAUUGUUCCACUACAAGAUGGACCUGCGUUGUAUUAGCUAGUAGGUGAGGUAAUGGCUCACCUAGGCGACGAUACAUAGCCGACCUGAGAGGGUGAUCGGCCACACUGGGACUGAGACACGGCCCAGACUCCUACGGGAGGCAGCAGUAGGGAAUCUUCGGCAAUGGGGGCAACCCUGACCGAGCAACGCCGCGUGAGUGAAGAAGGUUUUCGGAUCGUAAAGCUCUGUUGUAAGUCAAGAACGGGUGUGAGAGUGGAAAGUUCACACUGUGACGGUAGCUUACCAGAAAGGGACGGCUAACUACGUGCCAGCAGCCGCGGUAAUACGUAGGUCCCGAGCGUUGUCCGGAUUUAUUGGGCGUAAAGCGAGCGCAGGCGGUUUGAUAAGUCUGAAGUUAAAGGCUGUGGCUCAACCAUAGUUCGCUUUGGAAACUGUCAAACUUGAGUGCAGAAGGGGAGAGUGGAAUUCCAUGUGUAGCGGUGAAAUGCGUAGAUAUAUGGAGGAACACCGGUGGCGAAAGCGGCUCUCUGGUCUGUAACUGACGCUGAGGCUCGAAAGCGUGGGGAGCGAACAGGAUUAGAUACCCUGGUAGUCCACGCCGUAAACGAUGAGUGCUAGGUGUUGGAUCCUUUCCGGGAUUCAGUGCCGCAGCUAACGCAUUAAGCACUCCGCCUGGGGAGUACGACCGCAAGGUUGAAACUCAAAGGAAUUGACGGGGGCCCGCACAAGCGGUGGAGCAUGUGGUUUAAUUCGAAGCAACGCGAAGAACCUUACCAGGUCUUGACAUCCCGAUGCUAUUUCUAGAGAUAGAAAGUUACUUCGGUACAUCGGUGACAGGUGGUGCAUGGUUGUCGUCAGCUCGUGUCGUGAGAUGUUGGGUUAAGUCCCGCAACGAGCGCAACCCCUAUUGUUAGUUGCCAUCAUUCAGUUGGGCACUCUAGCGAGACUGCCGGUAAUAAACCGGAGGAAGGUGGGGAUGACGUCAAAUCAUCAUGCCCCUUAUGACCUGGGCUACACACGUGCUACAAUGGUUGGUACAACGAGUUGCGAGUCGGUGACGGCGAGCUAAUCUCUUAAAGCCAAUCUCAGUUCGGAUUGUAGGCUGCAACUCGCCUACAUGAAGUCGGAAUCGCUAGUAAUCGCGGAUCAGCGCGCCGCGGUGAAUACGUUCCCGGGCCU